rnacentral:rRNA from 1 species
AUUGAACGCUGGCGGCAGGCUUAACACAUGCAAGUCGAGCGGGGGAAGGUAGCUUGCUACUGGACCUAGCGGCGGACGGGUGAGUAAUGCUUAGGAAUCUGCCUAUUAGUGGGGGACAACAUCUCAAAAGGGAUGCUAAUACCGCAUACGUCCUACGGGAGAAAGCAGGGGAUCUUCGGACCUUGCGCUAAUAGAUGAGCCUAAGUCGGAUUAGCUAGUUGGUGGGGUAAAGGCCUACCAAGGCGACGAUCUGUAGCGGGUCUGAGAGGAUGAUCCGCCACACUGGGACUGAGACACGGCCCAGACUCCUACGGGAGGCAGCAGUGGGGAAUAUUGGACAAUGGGGGGAACCUUGAUCCAGCCAUGCCGCGUGUGUGAAGAAGGCCUUAUGGUUGUAAAGCACUUUAAGCGAGGAGGAGGCUACUCUAGUUAAUACCUAGGGAUAGUGGACGUUACUCGCAGAAUAAGCACCGGCUAACUCUGUGUCAGCAGCCGCGGUAA